AUGGCUCGGCAGGAGCAGCUACGCAGUAGAAAAGAGAGGAUCCCAUGCCCCGGUGACGCCAAACUUCUCGCCCAUCUGCUCAAUAACCGAGGGCCUUUGCUGACUAGAGCCCAGGCUUUCCCCAAUACCACCCGCUGGUUCGUCACCUGCAUCAACCAGCCACCGUUCCAGGCCGUCCUGGGGGAGGUGAAGCUCUGCGAGAAGAUGGCCCAGUUUGACGCUAAAAAGUUUGCAGAGAGCCAGCCUAAAAAAGACACCCCACGGAAAGAGAAGGGUUCUCGGGAAGAGAAGCAGAAGACCUAGGCUGAGUGGAAAGAGGAGAAAAAGGCUGUUGCCCCUGCUCCUGAGGAGGAGAUGGAUGAAUGUGAGCAGGCACUGGCUGCUGAGCCGAAGGCCAAGGACCCCUUUGCUCACCUGCCCAAGAGUACCUUUGUGUUGGACGAAUUUAAGCGCAAGUACUCCAAUGAGGACACUCUUUCUGUGGCGCUGCCAUAUUUUUGGGAGCACUUUGAUAAGGAUGGCUGGUCUCUGUGGUACGCUGAGUACCACUUCCCUAAAGAGCUCACCCAGACCUUCAUGAGUUGCAACCUCAUCACUGGAAUGUUCCAGCGGUUGGACAAGCUGAGGAAGAAUGCCUUUGCCAGUGGCAUCCUCUUUGGAACCAACAAUAGCAGCUCCAUUUCUGGAGCUUGGGUCUUCCGAAGCCAGGAGCUUGCCUUUCCUCUGAGUCCAGAUUGGCAGGUGGACUACGAGUCAUAUACAUGGCGGAAACUGGAUCCUGGCAGUGAGGAGACCCAGACGCUGGUUCGAGAGUACUUUUCCUGGGAGGGGGCCUUCCAGCAUGUGGGCAAAACCUUCAAUCAGGGCAAGAUCUUCAAGUGAACACGUCUUGCCAUCGCCUAGGUGCCUGUACCCGCCCUUCAGGGAGAUGGGGGUCAUUAAAGGAAACUGAACAUUGACAAAAAA